CGUAGUUAGCCGACACUUAUUCCUAUGCUACCGUCCGUUCUCGUCACAUNAAAAGGGCUUUACGAUCCGAAAACCUUCUUCGCCCACGCGGCGUCGCUGCAUCAGGCUUGCGCCCAUUGUGCAAUAUUCCUCA
rnacentral:rRNA from 1 species